rnacentral:lncRNA from 1 species
ACAUGAUUUAAAAUCAUUCACAUUAUAACAUUACAAUAUAAUAGUUGAAUAAUUCAUCCCCUAAAAUACGAUUAUCAUUAUUAUAUCAAACUACUAAACUAAUAACUUUUACCAUCAUUAUUAUAAGACAAUAGUUCGGUUAUAUGUAUGUAGAAGAGCUAAUACAAAGAAUAAUACAGACUAUAGAGCUAAAUUCUUGUGUUGCACUAUCAUUUGUACCCGAUGUGUGCACCUGGAUCACCAUGUCCUCCCAAACCUGUUAAAGACACUUCAAGAUUAGCAAACAAAAAGAUCAAUAGAAGAAAAUUUGAUAUGCUACAUUAUUAAUGCCAACAUAAAAUCAAAAUUUACACAAUUCAAAAAACCUCAGUAGCAAGUUAUGAAAUGUAAAACAAAAGGUGAAUAAAGAAAAUUUGAUUUUAGUCGGAUUGAUCGUGUGGAAGCUCUGCAGAAGUCAGCAAGGAAUGAGAGGGAUAUCCAACCUGUUUUGCAGAUCGCAAACUCAUUUUGAAGUCUAAAGCUUUAUCAAGUUCAUCCAAAAAAAACCAAAAUAUCAACGAUAAGUGAUGUUGUUUUAUUAUUUUUAUAUGCUCAGUUGUGGAACAGAACAAGACAAUAUCACCACAAGGCAAUGAACUAAUCGCAAAGCAUGAUAUGAUAUAGUAAAAAUGCAUUCCUAGAUCUAACUAGCUCUCAAACUUAAGUUAUGUAAUUCUACAAACUAGCAGAAGUCAAGGUUUCUCUCUAUCCAGUCCACUAAAAUAAAAUCAAAAAAUAAUCCUACAAAAUUUGCUACUGCAAAAUAGAAUAGUGUAUUUAUACAUUCCUCAUUUCAAAGGAUACCAUUAUAGGCAUUGUGUGAUAAUGGUCAUAAAACUUAUUACAUUUAAUAAAUUAUCAGCGUACAACAUGAUCACACG